CUUCAACAAUAACAACGCAGCAGCAGCUGAUUGAAGCACGUCGGUGGCUUGUUAAUAAUUCAAAACAGUCUAAUGAGGAUUCAUUUCAAGAUUUGAUUGUAUUAACCUCAGUGUUUGAAACGGCAGUGUAUUGUGUAGUUACAUUACUCCAUGAGUUUCAAAUGUACACGAUCAGCUAGCUAACUUUUUAAAUUACCUGCUGUAGCUGUAGGCAAAUCACUAAAGCUUAAUAGCUAGCCUACAGCAAUACACCAUGAGCUCACUUAACUUUUCCUAUCCUGCUGAAGAGGUCUGCUGGACAGAAAAAGAAAUUAUAGUAAUAGAGAAAGAAGAGUCUGUCACGAUUAAAAACGAAGUAGAAAUUGUGGCAAUUACAGCGAAAGAAGAAUACGUUUCUGAAGAGGAUGAAGCUUUCGAAGUGAAACAGGAGGAUUUUGCUGUGAAGGAAGACAUUUCAGUAGAAAACAAGGAAGAAGCUUUCAGAGUAAAAGUCGAGGGAGAUGUUACUGUGAAAAGGGAGAGUGGUAUUGUGAACGAGGAAGACAUUUUAUUUAAAGUAGAGGAAGAAGCUUUCAAAAUUCAUGAGGAUGUUACUGUGAUAAGUGAAAAUGCAGUUAAAAAAGUGAAAAAGGAAGAGAUGAAUGUCAUGAUAAAAGAAGAGGAAGGUGAUUUUAAUGGGGAGGGGGUGCCUGAAGAUCUGAAUAACACCAGGUUUGUGCAUAAGACUGAGAAGGAAAUGACGAGGGAAGUGGGUGAUCCGUUGCCUCCACCUACAAAACAAAAGAGGCUCCUCGGAAUAUCCAAUAAAUAUGCUUCUCCUUCAUUAGAACCAAAUAGAGAUGGUUCCUUUUCAUCAGAACCAAUGGAAGAUGCUUCCCCUUCAUCAGAACCAACUGAAGUUUUACAAGGUCUAGGUGACAUCUCUUUUUUCCAAAGGCCUGUUACAGAAAGUGAACGGGCCCAGGUGAUGGUUGAAAUGGAAGAUCUAAGAAGAGAGCGAGAUACUAAGGUGGACUGGACAAAAGGGCGACUGUCCUUUGAAGGGGAAUGA
rnacentral:lncRNA from 1 species